AUGAACCCGCAGCCCGGUGUUUUGUGCCCGGGUCUGUGCACUUGUUGUUGGCGUUGGGGUAGAACAAGUCUGGCACCUGCUUGCUGCGCCAACAUCACCAUCUAUCAAGCUGCAAUAAAAGGCAGAGGGCAGCCCCGUGAACCUGCGCUCUGGGUUGUAGUCGCCUUCCACUCCGCUCAGGGUCGCAGCCCAGGAGGCUCCGGAGAGCCAGCACAGCACCGAGAGCACGAUCAGCAUCGCCCCGUCACUAGUCACCCUGAUUCGGCCCAUGUCCCGGUCCGGAGGGGGAGGUGGAGAUGCGUCCGAUCUGAUUCCAACACCAAAGUCCCGGACUGGCGAGUCUCAGCUACGAUGCAUCCUGAUCCUUGACUCCACGGGUUUCUCCAAGAAGAUAGAAGCAAAUAAGUUGCAGUGGCUGUGUCUAAAUGCAGUAAAUGCUUGUUAAAUAUCUUUGAUCUGUUUCUCAGUUACUCUUUUCCUGGAGCUGCAGCCUGCACAAAGCGCACGGACGCGCAUGCAUCCGCUCCGCGCAACUGAGGCUCGUAUUAUCCUCUACGGAAAGGCGACCUGCUGAACAGCAGGAGGUUCAUUAUUACAGUGAGACUCUCGGUGUAUUCAACACAAACUGUGAGUCAAAGUCUCGGAAGAGUGGAGUCCUCUGGUGCACGAACACACGUCCCGGUGUCCUGGGUUAGAAUAAGCCUGGCUCUCCACGCUCUGUGCCCCGGUGUCGCUGACUCUGUCCCGCCGGUAUCAACGAACGUCCGCCCGCUUCUACCACUUUAAAACCAUCCAGGAAAAUAUAUUAUAAAGCGAAAUAAGUAUUUAAAAAAAAAAAAAUCACGUUUAAAUCCGCGUAAAAACAAAAGCAGGGAGCGCGCGCUGGUGCACGUCCACUCGGUGAUACGGAGGUUGACGGAUGUUGGGAGAGCGAGAGCGGACCGAGUGGAAGACAGGCGUCUCGCGCGGCCCCGCCUUCCGGAAAACAAGCAGCGCGAGAGGACAACAGGUAACAGGAUGACGUCACGAGGGCCAGGUGCAGUUAAAGUACACAGUGAUGUUUUCCUUUUGGCGUGGUUCUAUAGAAUAUCUUUGUUUUUCAUGUGUGGUAAUGAUCGGCAGUGUGAUCAUUUAGGUUUAAAUGUGAUUAUAUCCUGUAAAAGUUCCUAUUGUGCUGCACAAUGAGAUAAAAGCAUUUAGUGGUUAAAUAAAUAAAUACAAAAACAAUGUUCAUCUGAACCUUUUAUUCUGAGUAGGCCUGAGCAUUUACUCUGAAAUGCUUUACUCAAUGUUCCCCAAGAGACUACAUGAUCGUCAUUUAUUAUAUAGUGUUGCAGAAAUGGUGAGAUCGUAGACUGUGAAAGAUGGAUGGCGUGACUGCUUCUCAAAUGUCAAGCCAAAGUGAAGCCGAAAAUGCAGCCGGCCGGCAUGGUGGAUGAGAUAUGGAGCAAACUAAAAAGUCAAAGUCCACGUCAAAUAUAUUUUUUGGCGGUUUCUGUCAUUUUAGGUAAUUCUUGUCACAGUAUGUAUUGUAAGCUUGGUUUUAAUUAGUAAUUUGAUGCUACAAAAACAGUGAGAGAUGUCAUGAUUUGACAGCUGAGACUGAUUCAUGAUUGGUUGAGUGCAUGUAUCAAUGGGACCUCACUCCCACCACUCUAUCCCCCAAUCGCUACAGCGCAGACUCUGGCUCCAAAUAUGCAUGAUGGCGGCGUUAGCAUCCGGGAUAUUUUAGCUUCAUUUCUGGAGUUGUUGUCCAUCUUUACAUGCAAUCUACAGAUGAGACCAAAUCAGAAACUACAUUGUUCAUUGAUUAUGUUGUUGAACUCACUAUCAUAGCCUUGUUUAUUUCCCUUCCAUUGACAAUGAAGGAACAUACAGUAUCAAAUGUAUGUCCGUUUCACAUAAUUAAACAAUUUUCAUUCAAAA